UUGGGAUGCUUGUGAUCGGUUGCCUGUGUAGUUCUACCCUGUUGUGGGUAGCGAAGUUGUCCCUCGAUUGAUAUUUGCUUGCCUUUCUGACAUUUUUUUGUCGGUUGGGCAGCCGAAAUGAUGGCGAGAUCCUUGUGUAGGUGCGUUUGGUCGAAUGGCCUUGUUGCUAUCGCUUGGAUUUUUGCCGCCUCUCACGGAUACAGUGCCUAUUGCUAGCUCUGCGUGACUUUACUCCGCAGACUUCGGGAGGUCCCUUGUACGAAUCAUUGCGACGUGGGCGCCGUUUGUCGUGUUGCUUGUUUGGCACGCAAAUCGUAUUGUUCUGUCUGGAGUCGGGAUGACGAAGGGCAAGAAUGAAGUGUCCGGGGUGUGAUUGCGUACAUGGGAAAGCCUCUCCGAUCGUAUGAGCAGCGAUUUCCGGCUUGCGUCAUGCGAAGGCGCCGCCCGUUCGGGUUGGUG
rnacentral:misc_RNA from 1 species